rnacentral:lncRNA from 1 species
GCGGGAAACUCGACUGCAUAAUUUGUGGUAGUGGGGGACUGCGUUCGCGCUCUCCCCUGGUUUUUCUUGGUCUGAAAGAAAAAACGUGCAGGGCACUGUGCUUUAUCGUACCAACAUUUCGGUUGGUAUAUUAGGAAAAGCCAUCUCACGACAGUAGAUGUCAGAGGAGCCGUUUGCCACUGACAAGACCGACAGACAAUCCCUAGUGGUGUGCGGUGGGUGGCUCUCAGGAUGUCUGCAGAGGCCGGCAAAUCUUUCUGGACCAACCUGGUCCUGAGUGUGUAGCCAGUGCUAUACAGAGAAGAGAGAGGAAGAAAAAGGAAGAGGAGAGAAGAUAAAUGAAAAGGAAAAAAAGCCUUGCAAAAGCCAGAUCUUACUUUCUCCACCCCCACCCCCCCCUUUCAGGCGUGAACUCGGCGAUGCUGCACCGCGUGAGUGCUGCUGGGAUUAAACUGGAUCAAAAAUUAACUCCUUAAAUCAGGAAUACCACGACUGGAGCCUGGUUGCUCUCAUAGAAGAGGUGACUAUCCAUUUUUUGCUAGUUGCCGGUUGUAAAGAUUCCCAGCCCGGGGGAACGGGACAAGACUCUGUAACCUGUCAGUCAACUGUGUAGUAAUUAGCUGCAAUUUGUGGCCCAAGAUGUUUUGUUUUUCUUUCAAGACUAACUUGUCUAAACUUAGGACUUAAACAGGCAGGAAAGGGUCGUUAAUAACACCCUGAUUUAAGUCUCGCUCACCCAAAACCCCAUGAUUUCCUUCUCGGGGUCCACCCCACCCCGUAGCAGUCUUUUCAACCACCUCAUCACAAGUUACCUUACCAUCAAACUGAGUUGAGUGUUACCGCCGUAGCAAGUGCUAGGCAUAAGAGACACCUUGCAUCUGGCUGCAGACCAAAAGAAACUACAACUGAGUCUUAUUUUCAACCGAGAAGACCAGGGGAGAGCGCGAACGCAGUCCCCCACUACCACAAAUUAUGCAGUGGGUGGCACCGCCCAUAGUGGGCUGGGCCUUCCCUCACUCACCGCUGAUCAGGAAAACGCCCUUCAGGUUUUCCAGCCUCCAGCCUGAUCUUUUGGAGGCAGGUUCUCCACUGAGGUUCCCUCCUCUCUGAUGACCCUAACUCUCGUCACGGCUGCGAGGGGCUGCAUAGUGAGUUCCGCGACAGCCAGAGCUACAGAGCGAGACCCUCUCUCAAACAAACAGAAAUGAAACACUAAUGCUGGAGGGCUGGGUGUGUGGUGAGCUCUGUGAGUUCUAGGCCAGCCAGAGCUACAGUGAGACCCUGUCUCAGAACAACAACAAACAAAACUACGGCUUGGGCAGGGACUUUAUUAUAUAGGUUGGUGAGAGAGGGCAUGCCUAGCAUGCGAGAUCGAGCCUCACUCAGCACCAACGACUUAAACAAAUAAAAAUGCUAAAUCAAAAAACCUGACUCCGGCC